UACGGAGGGAGCUAGCGUUGUUCGGAAUUACUGGGCGUAAAGCGCACGUAGGCGGCUUACUAAGUCAGGGGUGAAAUCCUGGAGCUCAACUCCAGAACUGCCUUUGAUACUGGUAAGCUCGAGUCCGGGAGAGGUGAGUGGAACUGCGAGUGUAGAGGUGAAAUUCGUAGAUAUUCGCAAGAACACCAGUGGCGAAGGCGGCUCACUGGCCCGGUACUGACGCUGAGGUGCGAAAGCGUGGGGAGCAAACAGG
rnacentral:rRNA from 1 species